UACGAAAGGAGCUAGCGUUGUUCGGGAUCACUGGGCGUAAAGCGCACGUAGGCGGAUGUGUCAGUCAGGGGUGAAAUCCCGGAGCUCAACUUCGGAACUGCCUUUGAUACAGCACGUCUUGAGUCCGAUAGAGGUGGGUGGAAUUCCUAGUGUAGAGGUGAAAUUCGUAGAUAUCAGGAGGAACACCGGUGGUGUAGACGGCCUUCUGGACCGUAACUGACGCUGAGACACGAAAGCGUGGGUAGCAAACAGG
rnacentral:rRNA from 1 species